rnacentral:rRNA from 1 species
GUCCAGACUCCUACGGGAGGCAGCAGUGGGGAAUCUUCCGCAAUGGGCGCAAGCCUGACGGAGCAAUGCCGCGUGAACGAAGAAGGUCUUCGGAUUGUAAAGUUCUGUCCUUAUCGAAGAGAGGGUAUAGAGUGAAAAAUGAUAUACUAGGACGGUAGAUGAGGAGGAAGCCCCGGCUAACUACGUGCCAGCAGCCGCGGUAAUACGUAGGGGGCGAGCGUUGUCCGGAAUUACUGGGCGUAAAGGGUGCGUAGGUGGUUUCUUAAGUCAGAGGUGAAAGGCUACGGCUCAACCGUAGUAAGCCUUUGAAACUGGGGAACUUGAGUGCAGGAGAGGAGAGUGGAAUUCCUAGUGUAGCGGUGAAAUGCGUAGAUAUUAGGAGGAACACCAGUUGCGAAGGCGGCUCUCUGGACUGUAACUGACACUGAGGCACGAAAGCGUGGGGAGCAAACAGGAUUAGAUACCCUAGUA